GCUCCGUAGGUGAACCUGCGGAGGGAUCAUUAAAAACGUAUCCACGUACCAACCUUUGUGAACCUGUUUUUUUAACCCACAUCUUUUAAACGCUUUGUAAUAUGAUUGUAACCUUUGCAAAUGUUCGGUCGAAAGACUGACUUUGUAUGUCUUAUAAACAACUUAUCUUACAACUCUUAGCAACGGAUAUCUUGGCUCUU
rnacentral:misc_RNA from 1 species